rnacentral:tRNA from 1 species
GCCUCUGUAGCUCAGUUGGAUAGAGCGACCCUCUCCUAAAGGGUAGGCCAGCGGUUCAAUUCCGCUCAGGGGCACAA